CACGUAGGGCGCAAGCGUUGUCCGGAAUUAUUGGGCGUAAAGAGCUCGUAGGCGGUCUGUUGCGUCCGCUGUGAAAACUCGGGGCUUAACCCCGAGCCUGCAGUGGAUACGGGCAGACUAGAGGUAGGUAGGGGAGAAUGGAAUUCCCGGUGUAGCGGUGAAAUGCGCAGAUAUCAGGAGGAACACCGGCGGCGAAGGCGGGUCUCUGGGCCGAAAUUGACGCUGAGGAGCGAAAGUGUGGGGAGCGAACAGG
rnacentral:rRNA from 1 species